rnacentral:rRNA from 1 species
GACAAACGCUGGCGGCGUGCCUAACACAUGCAAGUCGAACGACGAAAGCCUUCGGGCAAGUAAGAGUGGCGCACGGGCGAGGAACACGUAGAUAAUCUGCCCUUCAGUGGGGAAUAACUCUCCGACAGGAGUGCUAAUACCGCAUAAGACCACAAGCUCUGCGGAGCAAGGGGUUAAAGGAUCUAUUCGCUGAAGGAUGAGUCUGCGUCCGAUUAGCUAGUUGGUUAGGUAAUGGCUUACCAAGGCAAUGAUCGGUAGAUGGUCUGAGAGGAUGAUCAUCCGCACUGGAACUGAGAAACGGUCCAGACUCCUACGGGAGGCAGCAGUAGGGAAUAUUGCACAAUGGGGGAAACCCUGAUGCAGCAACGCCGCGUGAGUGAUGAAGGCUCUAGGGUCGUAAAGCUCUGUCGUAUGGGAAGAAAAAAAUGACGGUACCAUACAAGAAAGGACCGGCCAACUUCGUGCCAGCCGCCGCCGUAA